GAAACGAGAAUAAAACGUGAAGGAUAACGUUGCGUCAGCAACGGCCCGUAGGGCGAGGCGAAGCCGAGUCAUCCUGCACGACCCACCA
rnacentral:sRNA from 3 species